UACGGGGGGGCAAGGCGUUGUUCGGAAUUACUGGGCGUAAAGGGCUCGUAGGCGGCCAACUAAGUCAUACGUGAAAUCCCUCGGCUUAACCGGGGAACUGCGUCUGAUACUGGAUGGCUUGAGAUUGGGAGAGGGAUGCGGAAUUCCAGGUGUAGCGGUGAAAUGCGUAGAUAUCUGGAGGAACACCGGUGGCGAAGGCGGCAUCCUGGACCAACACUGACGCUGAGGAGCGAAAGCCAGGGGAGCAAACGGG
rnacentral:rRNA from 1 species